AGUUAUUAAUUAAAAAUAAAAAAACUUAAAAAAUAUAUUUAUUAAUUAAAAACAUUAGUUAAAUUUUAAAAAAAAAUCUUGAAACAACAUGAAAUAACAAAUACAAAUGUGCUUAGAAGAGCAAUCAAAUUUGGGAUUCAAGGAUGAAAUCACUAUUAUUUAACCAUUUAACUAGAGAAGCUAAUGGGUUAAAAAUAUCAAUUAAAAGUAAAAAAAGAAUAAGCUUGAAACAAUAUGAAAUAAAAAAAAUAUACAAAUGUGAGUAGGAGAGGAAUCAAUCCUAAAACUUACAAAUAAAACCACUAACAUUUAAUCAUUUAACUAAAUGAGCUGAUAUGUUAAAAAAGCCAGAAAACGCCCUUUAUAGAACGCACUUUCAACUGAGGUGGUUGAAAGUAUGCCCUGUAGGACACAUUUUCAGUAAAAAACUCAUCGAGCAAGGCACGUUUUCACUUUCUCUCUCCAAAAUCGACC
rnacentral:lncRNA from 1 species